rnacentral:rRNA from 1 species
CUAGAUAGUUAGCGGCGGACGGGUGAGUAACACGUGGGUAACCUGCCUGUAAGACUGGGAUAACUCCGGGAAACCGGGGCUAAUACCGGAUGGUUGUUUGAACCGCAUGGUUCAAACAUAAAAGGUGGCUUCGGCUACCACUUACAGAUGGACCCGCGGCGCAUUAGCUAGUUGGUGAGGUAACGGCUCACUAAGGCAACGAUGCGUAGCCGACCUGAGAGGGUGAUCGGCCACACUGGGACUGAGACACGGCCCAGACUCCUACGGGAGGCAGCAGUAGGGAAUCUUCCGCAAUGGACGAAAGUCUGACGGAGCAACGCCCGUGAGUGAUGAAGGUUUUCGGAUCGUAAGCUCUGUUGUUAGGGAAGAACAAGUACCGUUCGAAUAGGGCGGUACCUUGACGGUACCUAACCAGAAAGCCACGGCUAACUACGUGCCAGCAGCCGCGGUAAUACGUAGGUGGCAAGCGUUGUCCGGAAUUAUUGGGCGUAAAGGGCUCGCAGGCGGUUUCUUAAGUCUGAUGUGAAAGCCCCCGGCUCACCGGGGAGGGUCAUUGGAACUGGGGAACUUGAGUGCAGAAGAGGAGAGUGGAAUUCCACGUGUAGCGGUGAAAUGCGUAGAGAUGUGGAGGAACACCAGUGGCGAAGCGACUCUCUGGUCUGUAACUGACGCUGAGGAGCGAAAGCGUGGGGAGCGAACAGGAUUAGAUACCCUGGUAGUCCACGCCGUAACGAUGAGUGCUAAGUGUUAGGGGGUUUCCGCCCCUUAGU